GUAUGCUUAACACAUGCAAGUCGAACGGACAGAGCGGGGAGUUUAACUCCUGGGCGGCGAGUGGCGGACGGGUGAGUAAUACGUAGGAAUCUACCUUGUAGUGGGGGAUAACCCGAGGAAACUCGGGCUAAUACCGCAUAAUCUCUACUAGAGCAAAGCGGGGGAUCUUUUGGCCUCGCUCUAUAAGAUGAGCCUAUGUCGGAUUAGCUUGUUGGUAGGGUAAUGGCCUACCAAGGCGAUGAUCCGUAGCUGGUCUGAGAGGACGAUCAGCCACACUGGGACUGAGACACGGCCCAGACU
rnacentral:rRNA from 1 species